GAUGAACGCUGGCGGCGUGCCUAAUACAUGCAAGUCGAGCGAACGGACGAGAAGCUUGCUUCUCUGAUGUUAGCGGCGGACGGGUGAGUAACACGUGGAUAACCUACCUAUAAGACUGGGAUAACUUCGGGAAACCGGAGCUAAUACCGGAUAAUAUUUUGAACCGCAUGGUUCAAAAGUGAAAGACGGUCUUGCUGUCACUUAUAGAUGGAUCCGCGCUGCAUUAGCUAGUUGGUAAGGUAACGGCUUACGAAGGCAACGAUGCAUAGCCGACCUGAGAGGGUGAUCGGCCACACUGGAACUGAGACACGGUCCAGACUCCUACGGGAGGCAGCAGUAGGGAAUCUUCCGCAAUGGGCGAAAGCCUGACGGAGCAACGCCGCGUGAGUGAUGAAGGUCUUCGGAUCGUAAAACUCUGUUAUUAGGGAAGAACAUAUGUGUAAGUAACUGUGCACAUCUUGACGGUACCUAAUCAGAAAGCCACGGCUAACUACGUG
rnacentral:rRNA from 1 species